GAUGAAGAACGUAGCGAAAUGCGAUAAGUAAUGUGAAUUGCAGAAUUCAGUGAAUCAUCGAAUCUUUGAACGCACAUUGCGCCCGCCAGUAUUCUGGCGAGCAUGCCUGUUCGAGCGUCAUUUCAACCAUCAAGCCCCAGGCUUGUGUUGGAGCCCUGCGGCUGCCGCAGCCUCCCAAAACCAGUGGCGGGCUCGCUAUCACACCGAGUGCAGUAGUUUACUCUUCGCUCAGGGCGUGUGGCGGGUGCUAGCCGUGAAACCCCCAACUUCUCAAGGUUGACCUCGGAUCAGGUAGGAAUACCCGCUGAACUUAAGCAUAUUAAUAAGCGGAGGA
rnacentral:misc_RNA from 1 species